UGGUGGAGUGAUUUGUCUGGUUAAUUCCGUUAACGAACGAGACCUCAACCUGCUAAAUAGUGACCGGAAGACUUCUAUCAAAACACAUGGGUGGCUAGGUGAAGUUUCGAUGGAUCCUGACCCAUCUGUGUGUGGAUGACUUCGCGGGAGCGCUUCUUAGAGGGACUAUUUGUAUUAAAGCAAAUGGAAGUUUGAGGCAAUAACA
rnacentral:rRNA from 1 species